rnacentral:rRNA from 1 species
AUGAACGCUGGCGGCGUGCCUAAUACAUGCAAGUCGAGCGAACAGAUGAGGAGCUUGCUCCUCUGACGUUAGCGGCGGACGGGUGAGUAACACGUGGAUAACCUACCUAUAAGACUGGGAUAACUUCGGGAAACCGGAGCUAAUACCGGAUAAUAUAUUGAACCGCAUGGUUCAAUAGUGAAAGACGGUUUUGCUGUCACAUAUAGAUGGAUCCGCGCCGCAUUAGCUAGUUGGUAAGGUAACGGCUUACCAAGGCAACGAUGCGUAGCCGACCUGAGAGGGUGAUCGGCCACACUGGAACUGAGACACGGUCCAGACUCCUACGGGAGGCAGCAGUAGGGAAUCUUCCGCAAUGGGCGAAAGCCUGACGGAGCAACGCCGCGUGAGUGAUGAAGGUCUUCGGAUCGUAAAACUCUGUUAUUAGGGAAGAACAAAUGUGUAAGUAACUAUGCACGUCUUGACGGUACCUAAUCAGAAAGCCACGGCUAACUACGUG